UCGUUUACAAUUUCGGGUUUUACUUUGAAUCCUUCCCACUUCAUCUCCGAAGCUUAAGAUUUGUUAAGUGUCGGGGACAAAUUGGCUCUCAACAAUCUGUAAGUUCAUUUUUCAGACUUGUCAAAUUUCAAAACUCAUGUCUAAAUUUCUCCACAAAACUGUUUUAUUUGGAAGUUGUUCUGUAAGAACUCAACCAGGAACUAGUAAUCUGGGUUUUCUUCGAAACCCAGAUUUUUUCUCUCUAAGAUGGUUCUCAAGCAGCUCAAAUCAACAAUCUCUUACAGUUUCUUAUCUCAUAAACUCACUUGGGUUUACUCCAGAAGCUGCUUUAUCAGCUUCCAAGUAUGUUAAUUUUAAGAGUCCUGAGAAACCAGACAAGCUCAUAAACUUGUUCAAAAAGUAUGGCUUCACUCAAAUCCAAAUCUCUAGCCUUCUCAAGAGAAAUCCUAUAGUGCUUAUAUUAGAUGCUGAGAAGACCGUUUUGCCCAAAUUGGAAUUUUUCGACGCCAAAGGUAUUUCAUGGCCUCAAUUUGCCAAAAGAUUAUCUCAAUUCUCUACUAUUUUGAGAAGCAGCUUAGACAAACAGAUAAUGCCAUCAUAUGAGUUCCUUAGGAAUUUUCUGCAGUCUGAAGAGAUGGCCAUUGCAGCUGUUGAAAGAUUUCCGGAUAUAUUGAGGGUAAAUCUUGAGAAAUGUUUGGGCCGUAACAUUGAUAUUCUGCAAGAACAUGGAGUUCCUAAAUCCAAUAUAGCGAAGCAGUUUCCGAUCCGGACUCAAGCUUUCACAUCAAGUCGGUUUCGAGAGGCUGUUGAGGAAGUGGUGGAAAUGGGGUUCGAUGCAAAGAGGGGUACUUUUGUUCACGCAGUUCUUGUACUUCUUGGUUUGAGCAAAUCAACUUGGGAAAGGAAGGUUAAUGCAUUUAAGAAGUGGGGUUGGUCUGAGGAAGAGGUUUUGAAAGCCUUUCAUAGCAAUCCUUCCUUCAUGACGCUAUCUGAAGAUAAGCUUAUGGCAUGUAUGGAUUUCUUCAUCAACCAAAUGGGUUGGAGGCCCUGCCUUUUGGCUAAAUACCCAACAAUCCUUAAACUGAGCUUGAAGAAGAGAGUAAUACCAAGAUGUUCUGUUUUUCAAUUUUUGUUGUCUGAAGGGUUGGUGGAGAAGGAGGUUAGCAUUACUGCGUUGUUGCUAGUUUCAGAAGAGAAGUUUAUGCAGAAGUUUGUGGUGCCGUAUGAGAAGAACUCUCCGAAGCUGUUGAAGUUGUACGAGGAAAAAGUGGAUCUUUCAGUGGACAAGAGAGUGAUAAAUGAUGAUAAGUGUUUAAGAUGAUGCUAGAAGGAUUUGGAGCAAAAGCAUGUUCUGGAAUCAUUUGCAGAAGUUUGGUUGUACGGAAAUAUCGCAACAAAUACACACAUGGAGAGAAGACCAAAGCUGCUGAUGAAAUUCUUCGAAUGGCUGAGUAUGUGGCUGCGGGAUUUCAGUCUUUUUCAGUAUAAACAGGGAACAAAAUGGAUGAGAAAUGGCAAGCUCCAGCAAGGGGAUCCCUCGAACUAAACGUUGAUGCUUCUGUUAUCCCAGCUGAAACUAGCAUUGGAGUUGGUUGACUGAUCCGAGAUUCUGAAGGUAGAGUGCCCGGCGCUUUCUCGAAACAGGUGGCUGGCUUGUUUACUCCUCUUAUGGCAGUGUGUAGCUCUGAGAGAAGGUCUUCUCUUUUGCCAAAGGCCUUCGUGUUUCCUUGAUCGAGAUAGAUUCAACGAAUGCAACACGUGCAGUCAAUGGCAAUCAUUGUUUUGUUGCGGAAGAUUCAU